rnacentral:lncRNA from 1 species
UGCCCAACCAGGUUCCUUGAAGACUACACAUCCCAGGAAGCUGAGCGCCAGAGGCGGAACAGAGGGCGGUGUCGGCUGCGGUCUCUGCGUGGCAUACUGGGAGGCGUAGUCCUCACUUCCGUGACAGCCCACGAGGGUGUGGCCACCAAAGGACUUCACAGCCCAUGAGUCUUCAGGGGGCGUGGGCGGCACCAGUGGAGGCGGCUGGUACAUUCAAGAAGUUUAUGGGUGCGUGGCUGCAGCAGAGACCAGCAACUCUUCUUACCACAGGGGUGGUCUGGAGCUCCAGGAAGGACCUUCAGGCAGGGCCAUCUUAUUGUGAAUAGAGACAAAUGGGCCUUUCUAACACCAGAGACUGAGUUUGGUUUCCUAUGGCCAAGUGAUCUUCCUUCAAAUUUCCCUCACAGUUGCAGGGCUGAUUUCUUACACUGAAUCUCUCCAGCUCUUCAGGGAGCCUCCAUGCAAUGGCCUGCUGUUGGGCAUAGCGAACAGAGUCAGGGUGGAAGAGGCAGAUGGUGGGUGGUUAGGAAAGAUCAGUAAAGAGGCUACUGCUAUAGCCCAAGUGUCUAAUAAAGUAAGACCUGGAUAUUGUAAAAGUCCUGGCUGUCCAAUUCUAUCUACUUUCCCUGU